UGCAAAGAACAGUUGAAAAAUGUCAAUGAAUCCCAACGACAACUUCACUUCAUCCGUAUCUCAUUUUGCUGUCUGUCUUGACGGUUCCUUAUCGUUUGCGUAGUUUCCGUAACACCAGUGUUCCGUUUGACUAUUGCACAACUGAG